CCUCUUUGGACAUCGCAAAAAAAGCCCUAAGGACAAAACCGGCAUAAAAAAUAGUUUUAAAAUUAGGGUUUCAUCUCGUAUAUAGCCUCCUUGCCUCGACCUCCAACUCCGACUUUCAGAGACAACUCGCAGCCUCCGGCAAGCAACCAGCAAAAUGCCGAAGCAGAUCCAUGAGAUUAAGGAUUUCCUUCUAACCGCAAGAAGGAAGGAUGCCCGCAAUGU